AUGCGUGCGGCAGGCCUAACACAUGCAGUCGAACGGUGACAGAUCCCUCGGGAUGCUGACGAGUGGCGCACGGGUGCGUAACACGUAUGCAAUCUGCCUCUAACUGGAGAAUAGCCCAUGGAAACGUGGAUUAAUACUCCAUAAUAUCACGACAUCGCAUGGUGAUGUGAUUAAAGUUUUGGCGGUUAGAGAUGAGCAUGCGCCCUAUUAGCUAGUUGGUGAGGUAACGGCUCACCAAGGCAACGAUAGGUAGGGGGUCUGAGAGGAUUAUCCCCCACACUGGUACUGAGACACGGACCAGACUCCUACGGGAGGCAGCAGUGAGGAAUAUUGGGCAAUGGACGAAAGUCUGACCCAGCCAUGCCGCGUGCAGGAUGACUGCCCUAUGGGUUGUAAACUGCUUUUAUAUAGGAAGAAACUUUUCUACGUGUAGAAAACUGACGGUACUAUUUGAAUAAGGACCGGCUAACUCCGUGCCAGCAGCCGCGGUAAUACGGAGGGUCCAAGCGUUAUCCGGAUUCAUUGGGUUUAAAGGGUCCGUAGGCGGGCUUUUAAGUCAGAGGUGAAAGCCUACAGCUUAACUGUAGAACUGCCUUUGAUACUGGAAGUCUUGAGUAUAGUUGAAGUGGGCGGAAUACGUCAUGUAGCGGUGAAAUGCAUAGAUAUGACGUAGAACACCGAUUGCGAAGGCAGCUCACUAAGCUAUAACUGACGCUGAGGGACGAAAGCGUGGGGAGCAAACAGGAUUAGAUACCCUGGUAGUCCACGCUGUAAACGAUCAUUACUCGCUGUUGGCAAUACAUCGUCAGCGGCUAAGCGAAAGCGUUAAGUAAUGCACCUGGGGAGUACGUUCGCAAGAAUGAAACUCAAUGAAUUGACGG
rnacentral:rRNA from 1 species